rnacentral:tRNA from 1 species
GGGCGAGUAGCUCAGUUCGGUAGAGCACCUGUCUGAUACGCAGGUGGUCGUUGGUUCAAAUCCAACCUUGCCCA